rnacentral:rRNA from 1 species
CUACGGGUGGCUGCAGUAAGGAAUAUUGCGCAAUGGAGGCAACUCUGACGCAGCCAUGCCGCGUGCAGGAAGAAGGCCUUAUGGGUCGUAAACUGCUUUUAUUUAGGAAUAAACCCCCGAACGUGUUCGGGGCUGAAGGUACUAAACGAAUAAGCACCGGCUAACUCCGUGCCAGCAGCCGCGGUAAUACGGAGGGUGCAAGCGUUAUCCGGAUUUAUUGGGUUUAAAGGGUGCGCAGGCGGGCGAUUAAGUCAGUGGUGAAAUCCCGGGGCUCAACUCCGGAACUGCCAUUGAUACUGAUAGUCUUGAGUUUGGUUGAAAUGGGCGGAAUGUAGCAUGUAGCGGUGAAAUGCAUAGAUAUGCUACAGAACACCAAUCGCGAAGGCAGCUCACUAAGCCAAAACUGACGCUCAUGCACGAAAGCGUGAGGAUCAAACAGGAUUAGAUACCCUCGUAGUC